UCCCCGGUGGUCCAUUGGCUAAAAUUUUGCACUACCAAUGCAGGUGGCCCAGGUUAAAUCCCUGGUCAGGGAA
rnacentral:tRNA from 1 species